GUGCUUGGUUCAGCAGCACAUAUACUAAAAUUGGAAUAUACAGAGAAGAUUAGCAUGGCCCCUUUGCACAGGAUGACAUAUAUACUCAUGAAUCGUUUCAUAUAUAU
ensembl:snRNA U6 U6 spliceosomal RNA